AUGCUGAUUGGAAACAUCAAGGUAAUAAUUAAUUUGUAUUGGGUUAUGAUUGAGUCAAAUUCGUAACUUUAGAGUCUUUGAGAUGAUUCUUUUUAAAUUAAAAAAUUAAUGAAUUAUAUUAUAGGUUAAAAAAAAAAGUGAAACAAAUAAUAAUGAUUCCAUACGGUUUUAUCAUGAAUAAUUAAUUGGCAGUGUCUUUUCUUUUUGAUGAUAAUGGACACUCAUGAUAGGGCGCUAAUUAUCUACUUUGUCGUCAUGAAUAUAUGUGCGAUUAGACAAGGACACUACCUGAAUUGUACGAGAGAAUGGAAGAGCAACUUUAAUUAUUAUAUAUGCCUUAUUUAGGAUAGCUUGACUAGUAUAAUUUGAUUAGUGUUCCUCCUCCCUUAAGUAUAUAAAAUAGAGAAUCAUAAAUUAAAAUAUUAUUAUCUAACUAUUUUGAGAUUAUUCACUAAAAAUAAAAAAUAACUGUUUAUUGAUACGUUACUCAUCGAUUAUUAUCCUAAACCCUUGCUUCAUAAUAAUUUUAGAACCAAUGAAUGUGAAUCCGACAUCUCUAAUGCUAUCAUUUGCCCCUUUCU
rnacentral:misc_RNA from 1 species